AGUGGCCAUAUACCCAAGUAUUCCCUACGAUUUUUACGUAAGCCGGGGGUAUAAAGAAGAAGGGAGGAGAGGCCUUUGCUCUCUUCCCUUCUGGUGGCUCUGAAGGUGCAGGUUCCCUGCUGUUGGUUCUGCUGUGUGGAGUAGUGAGGCCUAGUGAGGCCUUGUAGACCUUGGGAGGCAGAGGGUGCCGGCGGUCAUUCAGCGUGACUUCUGCUGUCCCAAGGAGAGUAUUCACAGAGCCAAAAUAGAGCAGGACUCUUGGAGAUAACCAAACUGUGAGGCCAAUAUGGAAAAAGGCUACAGAGUUGUGAAAAGCAAUGUGUGGAAGAGAUAGUGGAAGGAAGAAAAAAUGAUGGCAAGAAAGGACAUGACUGUUUGUGAUUGCAGUCCUCAAGCCAGCUCAGUAAUGCUUCUGGGAAAGCAAAAAUGGGAUGCAAGAUGAAUGAGAGACUGGUGCAGAAGAGGAGAAAGACUGCAGAGCUGCCCCUACAGACUCUGCAUACAGGAGGUGGAAGUAAGCAGUUACUACACAACUGGACUCAUCAUGUGGGUAACCUGUCAUCCAAGAAUCCAAAUUACAGUUUAGCCCUUUAAUAAGGUCCUAAUACCCUGUGGACAAAAUGCAACACUCCUUGAGUUCAUUUAGUCACAUGGAAAAACAAGACUGUAAUCCCUGGUGGAUAUAAUAAUCUCAGAGCAGUUCACUAAAUGUGAACUCGGCAUGUUCUGUGAUUUUGUGAUUUCUAUUCAAGUUAGCUCUAGAGAACAUGAGAAAAAGAAAUACCAGUGCAGUGGGAAUCCUGACUAAGGCUAUCACUAGAAAUGCCAACAGUCUUCUAGUUCUGAUCACAAGUGUUAUUUUUCUACAUAAUAAGGAGAGCAUGAGAGAGGAAAA